AGUCGAACGGCAGCACAGAGGAGCUUGCUCCGUGGGUGGCGAGUGGCGGACGGGUGAGGAAUACAUCGGAAUCUACUCUGUCGUGGGGGAUAACGUAGGGAAACUUACGCUAAUACCGCAUACGACCUACGGGUGAAAGCAGGGGAUCUUCGGACCUUGCGCGAUUGAAUGAGCCGAUGUCGGAUUAGCUAGUUGGCGGGGUAAAGGCCCACCAAGGCGACGAUCCGUAGCUGGUCUGAGAGGAUGAUCAGCCACACUGGAACUGAGACACGGUCCCAGACUCUUACGGGAGGCAGCAGUGGGGAAUAUUGGACAAUGGGCGCAAGCCUGAUCCAGCCAUACCGCGUGGGUGAAGAAGGCCUUCGGGUUGUAAAGCCCUUUUGUUGGGAAAGAAAUCCAGCUGGCUAAUACCCGGUUGGGAUGACGGUACCCAAAGAAUAAGCACCGGCUAACUUCGUGCCAGCAGCCGCGGUAAUACGAAGGGUGCAAGCGUUACUCGGAAUUACUGGGCGUAAAGCGUGCGUAGGUGGUCGUUUAAGUCCGUUGUGAAAGCCCUGGGCUCAACCUGGGAACUGCAGUGGAUACUGGGCGACUAGAGUGUGGUAGAGGGUAGCGGAAUUUCCUGGUGUAGCAGUGAAAUGCGUAGAGAUCAGGGGAACAUCCAUGGCGAAGGCAGCUACCUGGACCAACACUGACA
rnacentral:rRNA from 1 species